rnacentral:miRNA from 1 species
UGAGGCAGGAGAAUCGCUUGAACCCGGGAGGUGGAGGUUGCAGUGAGCUGAGAUUGCACCACUGCACUCCAGCCUGGGUGACAGAGUGAGACUCCGUCUCAAAAAAAAAAAAA